GUAGAAACUGAGAGAUGACCAAAGUAAAAGACAGAACAAGAAAAUGGAGACUACAGAGCAAGAGCUAAUCCGGAUGUUACUGGCCUCACGUUUUUAUCUCAAGGGAGCUCCCAAACUAAUCAAGGGGACAACAUUGAAACUACUCUGCAUAUCAUAAAAAUGGGUUGAAAAUUCUUCUGCCUCAGAAGAUUCAUCAGAGACCAUAAGGGAGACCAAUAUAUCAUAUUAUACCCUUUUGGGCAUCUGAAGGAGAUUGCUUUCUAAGCCUAUGACUUCAUAGAAGGUACACACAGAACUCUCAGGAAGGAAACAUCCUCUACCAAUAUAUCUUAUCAACUCUUCUGAACAUUCUAACUCAAAAACAUUUCCUGGGGCCAUUGACAAGCUAAGUGAUUUGCCCAGGGUCAUGUAUUUGUGAGAAGCAGGAAAUGAACC
rnacentral:lncRNA from 1 species